rnacentral:sRNA from 2 species
CCCGCCGUCAUCGGGGAGUAGCCGCCCGCGCCGAUCAGCGGGGUUCGCGUCAACACACUUCCUCUCGCCCGGAGAGGAUGGCGCGUUCUGGCCCGUCAGGGCCCUGGCAAGACCGCUGGCU